AACGAACGCUGGCGGCAUGCCUAACACAUGCAAGUCGAACGAGACCUUCGGGUUUAGUGGCGCACGGGUGCUUAACGCGUGGUAAUCUGCCCUUGGGUUCGCAAUAACAUGUGGAAACGACUGCUAAUACCGGAUGUUGACGUAAGUCCAAAGAGUUAUCGCCGAAGGAUGAGCCCGGGUAAGAUUAGCUAGUUGGUGAGCUAAAUGCGCAGCAAGGCGACGAUCCUUAGCUGGUCUCAGAGGAUGGUUAGCCACCCUGGGAAUGAGACACGGCACACAAUACCAAAGAAAGCAGCAGUCGAGAAUAUUAGACAAUGAACGUAGGCCUGGUACCGCAAUGACGCGCAAGUCCUGCAGGCAUUAGGGUUGUAACGCUCUUUUAAGAGGGAUGCUACUGACAGUAACGAGAAAAUAAGCUCCGGCUAACUCCGUG
rnacentral:rRNA from 1 species